rnacentral:rRNA from 1 species
UACAGAGGGAGCAAGCGUUGUUCGGAAUUACUGGGCGUAAAGGGCGCGUAGGCGGUUCGAUAAGUCCCGUGUGAAAUCCCUCGGCUCAACUGAGGAAUGGCACGGGAAACUGACGGGCUUGAGUUCGGGAGAGGGAAGCGGAAUUCCGGGUGUAGCGGUGAAAUGCGUAGAUAUCGAGAGGAACACCUGAGGUGAAGACGGGUUGCUGGGCCGACACUGACGCUGACAGCGCGAAAGCCAGGGGAGCAAACGGG